ACCUGAGUGGCUCAGUUGGUUAAGCGUUCGACUUCGGCUCAGGUCAUGAUUUCGAGGUUCGUGGGUUCGAACCCCGCGUCAGGCU
rnacentral:tRNA from 1 species